AAAAGAAGGCCAAUUCCGUUCUCCUCUCUUUAUCGUGAACACUUUCGCCGGUUGAUUUCAUCGAUCGUCGUUCAAUCAUCACCUGCAAAUGGAAAUGGGAAUAGAAUCGGCUACUCCGAAGUCCGAUCACGUCGCCGGAAUGGCUUUGAACAUUCCGGUGAAUGAUUCGAAUUAUGCGACGGCGUUGUUCCUCCCUAGACGCCUUCGCCGACGCCUUCUUGAAACCAAAACUCCUUCCAUUAUUACCGCCCAAGAUAUUGAAACCAAGCUUAA
rnacentral:misc_RNA from 1 species